rnacentral:misc_RNA from 1 species
GGAAGUAAAAAGUCGUAACAAGGUCUCCGUUGGUGAACCAGCGGAGGGAUCAUUACAGAGUUGGAAGACUCCAAACCCACUGUGAAUAUACCUCUGUUCCUUCGGCAGGCGGCCCCCGGGGGGGCUGUGCCGUGGCCGGCGCCUGCCGAGGGGCAAACCAAAACUCUGCUACCUUAUAGUUACUCUGAGCAACUGAAAAUAAGUCACAACUUUCAACAACGGAUCUCUUGGUUCUG